AACUAACGCUGGCGGCGUGCCUAACACAUGCAAGUCGUACGAGAAAGCCGGCUUCGGCUGGUGAGUAAAGUGGCGCACGGGUGAGUAACGCGUGGAUAAUCUGCCCUUAAGUGUGGAAUAACGUACCGAAAGGUGCGCUAAUACCGCAUAAUGCCCGGCAACACAAGUUGUCCGGCCAAAGAAGGCCUCUGUUUACAAGCUUUCGCUUCAGGAUGAGUCCGCGUACCAUUAGCUUGUUGGUGGGGUAAUGGCCUACCAAGGCUGCGAUGGUUAGCUGGUCUGAGAGGAUGAUCAGCCACACUGGAACUGAGACACGGUCCAGACUCCUACGGGAGGCAGCAGUGAGGAAUAUUGCGCAAUGGGGGCAACCCUGACGCAGCAACGCCGCGUGAGUGAGGAAGGUUUUCGGACUGUAAAGCUCUGUCGAGCGGGAAGAAGUGUACCAUGGCUAAUAUCCAUGAUAUUUGACGGUACCGCUAGAGG
rnacentral:rRNA from 1 species